ensembl:lncRNA
CGAAUCUUUAUCUGUGGAGCACAAGACUAGAUGAGAACACAACCUAUAAAUAUACAUAUCAAUGUCCUGCUCAACUGACAAUAUACAGGAGUGUUACUGUGUUUAACACUCAAUGCAAAAAAAAUUAUAAAGCUUAUCUGAUCACUGAGUAGAGCUCAUAAUAUUAGCUCUAAUGUUAGCUAUGUUAGCUAAAAACAAGCUAACAAAAACGAUAGGAAAUGAAUGGGAAUGCCUUUAGUGCCUAUACCUGUGAGCCAAAGUUUAGAGAUAUCUGGGACAGCCGUGUCGGCUGGGUGGAGAUGACCUGGUGGAGGCGGGGGGGUGGUGGUGACGGUGUAAUGAGAGUGAUGAAGCAUGGACAUGACGGAGGAGGAGAGGGAUGAGGUCAAGAGGUCCAUCUUGCCCUCCUCCUGCUCCUCCUCCUCCUGCUCCUCCUCUUCCUCUUCCUCCUCCUCCUCCUCAGCCUGGGGCCCCUCAAACAGCUCCAGGGAGCCCCCCCAGCUGCCCUCCUCCCCGGGCCCUCCUGUGGGGCCGGCCAGGCCAUCCAGGGCUGGGAUGAAUGGAUGAAUGAUGAAUGGAUGAAGCAUAAAGACAGUGUAGAUGUCUGGGUGAGUGUUGUUGAGAAUGCAGGCGGGUAGGGGUUAAUGACCAUGGUUACACGGGGAACUGGUUUGAGGUUUGAACUGAUUGAACGGCCACAGGUGGAAGUUAGAGGCACAAAGGCUGAAGUGAAGUCAGAAGGGAAUGAGGAACACGAAGGCUGUAAACACUAGUGUGUACUUUUUAAAACAGGAUGAGUCCAUUGUGUUUCAGAGUAAGUUGUGACAGUGGCGCUAAUGCAAGGGUGUUUGCAAAUUAUGAACACCACUCAGCUACACACUUUGAACUCUGAUCCCCCGACCUCACACGGUGAGAGCCACGGGCGACCGGAAGGCUCCAGACAGUCAGAGAGUUAGCAACAGAUUAGCUUCAGGCGGUCAGAGAGUUAGCUCCAUGCGGUCAGAUAGUUAGCGACAGAUUAGCUCCAGGCGGUCAGAGAGUUAGCUCCAUGCGGUCAGAUAGUUAGCAACAUAUUAGCUCUAGGCGGUCAGAGAGCUAGCAUCAGGUGGUCAGAGAGUUAGCAUCAGGCGGUCAGUUAGCUUCAGGCGGUCAGAUAGCUAGCGACAGAUUAGCUACAGGCGGUCAGAGAGUUAGCAUCAGGCAGUCAGAAAGUUAGCAUCAGGCGGUCAGAGAGUUAGCUUCAGGUGGUCAGAGAGUUAGCUUCAGGUAGUCAGAGAGUUAGCUUCAGGCGGUCAGAGAGUUAGCUUCAGGCGGUCAGAGAGUUAGCUCCAGGCAGUCAGAGAGUUAGCUUUAGGCGGUCAGAGAGAUAGCUUCAGGUGGUCAGAGAGUUAGCUUCAGGUAGUCAGAGAGUUAGCUUCAGGCGGUCAGAGAGUUAGCUUCAGGCGGUCAGAGAGUUAGCUUCAGGCGGUCAGAGAGUUAGCUUCAGGCGGUCAGAGAGUUAGCUUCAGGCAGUCAGAGAGUUAGCUUCAGGCCAGAGAGUUAGCUUCAGGCAGUCAGAGAGUUAGCUUAAGGCAGUCAGAGAGUUAGCUUCAGGUGGUCAGAGAGUUAGCAACAGAAAGGGAAACCGUUCCUUACACAUGGAGCGGCGCAGCAGAGACUUGACUUUGUCUCGGUCCUUCAGUCGGUUCCUCAUACGGGAAAGAGUUUGAG